rnacentral:sRNA from 1 species
AUGUGAGGGCAAUCUGGCUGCAACAUCUGUCACCCCAUUGAUCACCCCGGUUGAUUCGGCUGUUCUGGCUGGCUAGGCGGGUGUUCCCUUCCUCCCUCACCGCU